GAAACCUUCUAGGUUGAGAUUUCUUCUCUAAACUCAUGCUCGGUGGUUUAUAACUUCAUUUCCUUCAUGUUUCCUCUCUUCACUGAAGUUUACGUUCAUCAAUCUUUUGUGACAGUUUUGUUCUCUUUUUUAGGCUGAUGUUUUGGUUUUUUAGUUGAAGAUGAUGAGUUUGCCCUCAAGUUCAUUUCCCGUGUUUGGGUCUUACAGCCGUCGUUCCAGAGUGUCUGAUCUUAAGAAUUCAUUUGACCACAGACAAAAAUGUUCAAUGAUACACAAAAUGGUCAAGAACAUUCAGACUGUUGUCAGUCAUAAAUGUAAAAACUGAUCAAUAUCCUGCAUCAACAAUAACAUUUAUAUUCAGUAAGAGUCGAAGAAUGGCACAAAUAAGUGAAACAUCGGAUAGACUCCAAAGUAAAUAUGUUUUAAAAAGUUUAUGUUUCAUGUGUAUUUUUCAUUUUAUGUAUUAAAAGUUUUUUUCUCUUCUCUCCUGCAGGCAUCAGUGGAAAAACUGAAAAACUCUAUCACAGAGUUGGAGAGAACGUCCUUUUACCUUGUAGAGAUAAAUCCUCCUCUUCCUCAUGCUCUGAUGUUACCUGGCUGUACCAGAAAGAUACAAGUGCAGAACUUGUAAAGGAAGUACGCAAUGGAAAAGUUGUCCAGAGUUUAUUUCGAGCUUCCAGGCUGAAUGUGAGCAGUGACUGCUCUCUGCUCAUCAGAAACAUCAUUCAUGAAGAUGCUGGUUAUUUCGUCUGUCGGUUCGGCGAGGAUAAUGAGUUUGACAACAAUGUGUAUCUUAAUAUUUUGAGCAUUUCUACAGAUCCACCAGAAGUUCAUCCAAGAGGAAAUGAAGACAUCACAUUACGGUGUUCACUGAAUAGAUUUGAUAAAACAAAAUCCUGUGAACAGAACAGCAUCAUCUGGAUGGAUGAGAGAGGAUCUCAGCUGACUGGUGAAGGUGUUGGGUUUGAGUUUAGAGGACAAACAAACUGUGUUUCUGUUCUGACUGUGAAACAUCAGAGUGGAAACAAUAAAAGAUUCACCUGCAAGUUUAUUGAGGACAACAAAGUGAAGAUUGAGGCUGUCUACAUUCCAUACUUUUCAGAAUCUCCCCAGAGCGACACUGUCAUCAUCAUUGGAGCUGUGGUCGGUGUGGUGUUGGUGCUGCUGGUCGUUUUUGCGGUUCUACUCUUCAAAAGCAAGAGAACCAAAACCACCGAAGAUCAAAAAAGAGGAACAAACUUUCAAAAAUCAAUACAUCAACAUAGUGAGCCAGAGACUGAGCUGGACGGUGAUCUGACGUAUGCUGUGGUUAACCAUUCCAAAUCAAAGGCUUCUUCCAAGAUCACAAUGAAGGAGACAGAAGGUGAAGUGACCUAUUCUUCCAUUAAAAUGAAGUGACUGAGGAAGCAGACAGGAUGACCGAAGUCUCCUGUCAUUCUUCAACCUGCUACCUCCUCUUCCAACCACCAGAGGGAGCGCUCACCUGAGUUUUGACCACCUCAUCUGCCUUCACUUAAGACUCUGAUCAUCCUCAGCUGUUUUCAAUCUGCUCAUCACCACCACAGUAUUUAGUCUGGCUUCUCACCACAGCUCACUGUGAAGUCUUGUUUGCUCUGCAUCCAGUCUGCAGCAGUUAUUCUUAUGUUUGAGUCUUUGUGUACUGGCGCUUGCUUCUGUCCAGCUUCCCAUGGGGCUGUGGACGAGACAUGGGGUAGAGAUGGCCAAAUUGAUGCCAAACUGAUGGACGUGCAUCAGCACAUGAACCGAGGGAGAGACAGAGCGCAAUGUGGAAACAACCACAACAUAAAUAAUAUAGGAAUAAAAACAUUUUUUACUUUAUUCAUUUUGUGGAUAAUCUUAUAUUAUUGAUGAUGAAUUAAAUAAAGUGAAAAAAAAAAAACCUUAGCGAGCAGUUUAGGAGUCAAAAGACGCUUUUUUUUUCAGAUCCGAACAGCGUCAUCUCACAUCUCUAAGAAGAGCCGGGAUUUUUAUCAAUACAAGAAACUCUGACAACAAUAUUUUGGUCCAUUAUUAAGCCUUGGUAAAGUGCUGCACCUAUUCUGUUAAAAUCACGCGUCAAACAGCUCGCCAUUGACAGACUGUCAAUGUGCUCAACAAGUGAUGUGACGUAACGAGGCCUCGUUUCUAUCGGUCACAUGAUGUAAAAUCUGCUCAAAUCGCGACACUUCUGGUUAAAAAAGAUCGAUGCAGUGUCGAGCUGGACAUCUCUAACAUGGGGUUGUAACACAAUAUACACAUCCAAUAAUAUCAUAUAUAUUAUAUGAGAAGUCUAUAAAUAGUUAAUCUUACAAACUAUAUUCUAUUAUUUUACCUUUUCUGGCUGCUUUUUGGUCCUUGUCAUGUUGUAUUAGUUUUAUAAUAAAAAACUUUUAUUUUGUCAAAGAAAAUAAGUUCCUGAAGGGAUUCUCCCUUUCCUGCAUGGAGACACAGAGACCUUACCUCUUUUAAGAUUCUUUAUUUUGUGGAUAACAACAAAAACAAAAGAAGAAGACACUCCACAAAAGUUGUUUUGGGUCAAUUCUUUUAGCGGACUUAUUAGUGGAGCUGCGCUCCUCAAACGCCUGCGAGUGAACCAGCCCCCUCCCUUUAUUUCCCCCAAACACCAGCUACUUUCCCAUUAACUCUAAAAUUUCUUGAAUUGGAUUUUUUUAUGAUAAUUAGUUAUCUCUAAUGGAAACACAAUUUAAAAAAAAAAAAAAAAAAAUCACAUUUUUCAAAAACGUUUUUGCGUUUAGAGGAGCUGGUUUUGGGGGGGUAUCGAAAUGGAUGGACAUUUUUCGCAAAACUGUAAUAGAAAUUUACUUUUUUCUUCAAUUAAGCAAA
ensembl:lncRNA